CUAUGCGCCUUGCCAGCCCGCUCAGAAACUCAAAGGAAUUGACGGGGGCCCGCACAAGCGGAGGAGCAUGUGGUUUAAUUCGAUGAUACGCGAGGAACCUUACCUGGGCUUAAAUGCUUAAUGACGUACUGGGAAACUGGUAUUUCUUCGGACAUUUUGCAAGGUGCUGCAUGGUUGUCGUCAGCUCGUGCCGUGAGGUGUCGGGUUAAGUCCCAUAACGAGCGCAACCCCUAUUGUUAGUUGCCAUCAGGUCAUGCUGGGGACUCUAACAAAACUGCCCGCGUAAGAGUGGAGGAAGGUGGGGAUGACGUCAAAUCAGCACGGCCCUUACGUCCAGGGCUACACACGUGCUACAAUGGCCGGUACAGAGGGCAGCCACUUGGUGACAAGGAGCAAAUCUCAAAAGCCGGUCUCAGUUCGGAUCGGAGUCUGCAACUCGACUCCGUGAAGUUGGAUUCGCUAGUAAUCGUAGAUCAGCAAUGCUACGGUGAAUACGUUCCCGGGCCUU
rnacentral:rRNA from 1 species